GCGCGGUGGUCCCACCUGACCCCAUGCCGAACUCAGAAGUGAAACGCCGUAGCGCCGAUGGUAGUGUGGGGUCUCCCCAUGCGAGAGUAGGGA
rnacentral:rRNA from 1 species